UGGGUGCAGGAGGGAGCCGGGCAGAUGGGCUGGGCUCCCAGGAGACGGAGAGGAGGGAAGCCCUCACAGGGAACACCCCCUGCGGCAGAAAUCCUCUUUUCUGGACUAAACGGGACCGUAUUUGGCUGGUUCGUCACCGGUGGGAGUCGUCGUACAGGAUCUAUUCAUAUGGAAUCCAACUUGCAACCUUUUUGGUGUAUGGGAUGACGCGCCAACGAACGGAGCCACCCGGUCAGCGGAAGCCUUGCCUGCCUCGACUUCCCCACCUGUUCCUGGAACUACUCGAGGGUGCGGCCACACCUUAAGGCGCAUCUGGCUCCUUCCCGCAGCCCCCGGCGCUGGGCCCAGCAGGCACUCUGCCUACUCGCUGACCGCUCUCUGAAGAACCUUCCCCAGGGAAGGACGGCCCUGCGCAGAGACGGGAGGACCGGACGGCGGUCAGCGCGGUGGUGGCGAGCCAGCUCCGUCUCCAGAAGGGCUGGCCUGUCCCCCAAGCAGGCGCCUCCUCCAGCCUCCCUCUGAAGGACACUCCAAUGGGACGAGCAGGCAGCUGGUGGCCUCAGCCUGAGCCAGGGACGGCUCAGGGGGGAGGGGCUGUCUGAGGCCAGUUGCCAUGGAUACGGGAUGAGUGGGCCCUGGGGGGCGGGGAGAGCACUGUGCACAGAGCGCCUGCUCUUCUUCCAAACCCAAGC